rnacentral:lncRNA from 1 species
AUAUUACCUCUGUAAUUUCGUUUUUUUUAGUUUUAAUAUUAUAUAAUUUAAAGUAUAUCACUAUAGCACUUUUUUUUUAUUUUUUCUUUUCAUAAAGUUAUAACUGAAAAGUACAAACGUGAAUAUUCGAUAACUACAGGUAGGAUAUCUGAAGUUUUUUUUAUAUAUAAUUUAAUAAAAUAUUAACAAAUGAGCUGAUGGAAAGAGAAAAAUAAAAUCAUAGAGUACUAACUUGAUACACUUUAAAUGACAGGGUACUAGAGUCAGAAAAUACGAAACUACAUGAAUGGUAUCUGAAGUUUACUCUUUUACUUUACUAUGAUGUGUUAAUUUUAUUUUUAAUUACAUGACUUUUAAUAUUAAAAUUAAAAAAUAAUUUUAAAUUUUAAAAAAUUAUAAUUUUUAAUAGAAAAAAAAAUAUGUGAGAACAAAUUGAAGCUUUCUGAUAAGAUGUUUUUUUUUUUUUAGAGAGAUAGAUAGUACGUUAUCCGCUUCGUUUAUUUUAUUUAGAAAUAAAUUUAGCUGGAAAAUGUGAAUCAAACAGGAUUCGAAUUUAGGUCUCGAGUACCAACCAUCAAGCCCUUUGUCACUUGCUCCAGAUUCUAAGACAUUGUC